GGCUGUAACAUCCAUUAUCUGAUUUGGAAACCAAAAAAACGAUUCAAAGCCAUGACAGGGAACUUUCAAUGUUGCGCAAGUAAGCAUGAACAGACCUGGAUUGGAGGAAAGUCCUGACAUCAAGCAAAUACAAGUUGUGGUCAAGAGGAAAAAAAGAGCAAUGCGAAGUGUCAGCUAUGAAGCAUUGUCCAUCCCCUCCCUUCCUCCUUGGUACAAUGACAGCCAUAUGAUUGUAUAACCAGGUAAUCUUUGGAUCUAUACUCUACAGACAGACUGACAGCCUCUGCAUGGCUCUACUAUCCAGUAUAAUUACUGGGAAUAUAGUCGCUUAUACUUCCCCCAUAGGUAUGAGUUUGUGUUUUGGGGCAAUUAAGUGGGUAUGUGUAUUUAGCCCAUAUGCGCAGUGUGUAAUUAAACAUAAAAGUGCCAUUGAACAUGUUUGGCUGAGUGUUGGGAAAUUUCUCAAGCCCCAAAGGUUGAAGUGGAUUGGCUGUGUGUGGGUAUAUAUAGGGUCUAUCAGUCCAUCUCGCAGUCAAAGUAGAUGACUGUGUUUUACCUGAAGCAUUCAUUUUCAGCUGUUCUUGUCAAGACGAAAAGGGAGAAAAUGGGGCCACUGCUGCUUUUAGUCUGCAUGCUGGGAGCAACGCUCGCAGCUCCUGUCCCGGAAAGUGGAAGCAAUGAGGUGGCAGCACAUGCUAAUGCUGCCCUGCAUUGGAUGGAGAUGUACCGGAGCUCCCUGCAGCUGGGUUCCCCGAUGGAGGAGCAAAUGAUGGGUGACGCACCUGCUGCAGACCUUCCCGCUCCUCCGGUCAGUGAUGACUCAGAGGAAGAGGAGGAAAAAGCCGCCGCAGCCCCCAAAGCAGCCGCCGCCGCCCCGCUGAACUCGGAGGAGGCUGGCGAGGACGGAGCCGAGGAGGAGGAAGCGGCAGAGGCGGCCGAAGAGGAACCCGCGGCCGAGGCAGAACCCGCGGCCGAGGCAGAACCCGCGGCCGAGGCAGAACCUGCGGCCGAACCCGCGGCCGAAGGGGCUACUGAAGCUGUUGCCGAGCCUGCUGCCGAAGCUGCCGCUGUCGACCCGGCCGUAGUGGAGGCCCCUGCUGCGGAGGUAGUCCCAGCCGACGCCACUCCCGUGGUGGAGGCGGCCGCGGUGGAGGCUCCAGCGGUGGAGGCUCCCGCGGUGGAGGCUGCAGCGGUGGAGGUUCCCGCCGCGGAGGCUGCCGCGGUCGAGGCUCAAGUGGUCGAGGCUGCAGCGGUGGAGGCUGCCGUGGUAGCGGUGGAAGCGGUGCCAGAGCUGGUGGUACUAGCGGGUCCCGUGGAGGUCCAGGCUGGGACAGCGUAAUCGCCCCAGUUUGUCACCUCAAUUUCUCUCCUACUGACCUGAGUAUUAUGUCUCAGUAGGCCUAGGUCAUGUUAAUGACGGCGGCAGAUUUUUUGUCAUUUUGCCGGAUCAUUGGACAGAUCACAGGCCGCAUAUGGUCAGCCCAGACUGAUGUUAUUUUUCUUAUGUCAUUUACUUGAUGAUGUUUGUGAUGAUCUGUGAAAAUAAAUAUGUGGUGGUUGAAUGCAUCCACUCAUCAGGUUUAUUGUAUUACACUUAAAACGGAUCAAAUUGAUUAAAAGGUAACCAUUUACAAUAAGGGUACAAUAAUGAACUAUCAAUCUAAAUUAGUUAAUGCGAUUAUAAGCAUUAUCUAACAAUAACAAGAAGAUAAUUAACUUCUUAACGAAUAAUGGUGUAGUAGUCAUUACUUGUUAACUAAGUCAGUUUUUGAUUUAUACUUUUUCUAAUAGCACACAAAUUAAUAUAUUUGUUGUAUUAUAUUGAAUGAUUACUAGACCAUAAAUUAACUGUAAAUAAGCCCUUAGUUCACAUCACUCAUGGUUAACCUCUUUACCCUUAUUGUAAAGUGUUACCGAAUAACAGAUUACUACAGUUGAUCUUUUAGCAAUCCUUAAACAAUCAUAUUUCCAUAUCAAACCUAUAGUUAACCUAUCAUAAAAUAUAUACUAUAGCCUACAUUGCAUUUCCGUUAUUAGUCGUCGGCUCUGCUGUUUGGAUGCGAAUUGUCCAUCACCCACAGAACACUGCAGCCAAAGGAUCUUCCCAUGGGAUCGCAGAUUCAUCUAACAUGCAGUAGAUGUAGGCUACCAUUGUAACAAUCAAGCUCAGAUCUACAGAUGGGAUGGUUCGGACAGUCAUUUAUCACCACAUAUAAAUGCACAAGGGAUCGUGUGGCUCCAGUAGGACAGCAUUAGCAGCAGAACCGGUACACUCCCGGUGGAUUUGCUACAGCUUUAAUAGGAUAUAGAGGGGAUAGGCUAGAGUGCUGAGUAAGCACUUAACCAGCCAGGGAGGACUGAAGCGCUUAGAAUCCCUCCAAUAUAUAUUGGACAUAAUGCCCCCCCCCCCCUUAUGGGGAAAACAAACCACCUUACAUUAAGGAUCAGAGCUCUGUUUCAUAUUUCGUGUUUUGUUCUUUUUUUUUUUCUUUUACAUUCCUGGAUAACAAGUAAAUCCAGGAGAGUGCAAUUUUCUCCCUGAAGUAAAAAAAACAUAGCUAGUCACUUUUUUGCGGUUUCUUAUUGAUUGUGAAGUGUCUGAUAGUUGUCUGUAGUUGUGAUAUAUGAUGAUUACUCGUGUUCUCUGUAAAAAAUGUGUGAAAGAAA
ensembl:lncRNA